UAGGGAAUCUUCGGCAAUGGGGGCAACCCUGACCGAGCAACGCCGCGUGAGUGAAGAAGGUUUUCGGAUCGUAAAGCUCUGUUGUAAGAGAAGAACGUGUGUGAGAGUGGAAAGUUCACACAGUGACGGUAACUUACCAGAAAGGGACGGCUAACUACGUGCCAGCAGCCGCGGUAAUACGUAGGUCCCGAGCGUUGUCCGGAUUUAUUGGGCGUAAAGCGAGCGCAGGCGGUUUAAUAAGUCUGAAGUUAAAGGCAGUGGCUUAACCAUUGUUCGCUUUGGAAACUGUUAAACUUGAGUGCAGAAGGGGAGAGUGGAAUUCCAUGUAUAGCGGUGAAAUGCGUAGAUAUAUGGAGGAACACCGGUGGCGAAAGCGGCUCUCUGGUCUGUAACUGACGCUGAGGCUCGAAAGCGUGGGGAGCAAACAGG
rnacentral:rRNA from 1 species